rnacentral:rRNA from 1 species
AUUGAACGCUGGCGGAAUGCUUUACACAUGCAAGUCGAACGGUAGAGGGGGCAACCCCUUGAGAGUGGCGAACGGGUGAGUAAUAUAUCGGAACGUGCCCAGUCGUGGGGAUAACGUAGCGAAAGCUACGCUAAUACCGCAUACGAUCUAUGGAUGAAAGCGGGGGAUCGCAAGACCUCGCGCGAUUGGAGCGGCCGAUAUCAGAUUAGGUAGUUGGUGAGGUAAAGGCUCACCAAGCCGACGAUCUGUAGCUGGUCUGAGAGGACGACCAGCCACACUGGGACUGAGACACGGCCCAGACUCCUACGGGAGGCAGCAGUGGGGAAUUUUUGGACAAUGGGCGCAAGCCUGAUCCAGCCAUGCCGCGUGAUCGAUGAAGGCCUUAGGGUUGUAAAGAUCUUUCAGUGGGGAAGAUAAUGACGGUACCCACAGAAGAAGACCCCGGCUAACUCCGUGCCAGCAGCCGCGGUAAAGUGACUACUG